GCCUUCGUGGUGUAGUGGUUUUGCACCCUGGACCAGUAAUCCAGAGGUCCGGGGUUCGAUUGCCAACGAAGGCG